rnacentral:rRNA from 1 species
AGAGUUUGAUCAUGGCUCAGAACGAACGCUGGCGGCGUAGAUUAGGCAUGCAAGUCGAACGAGAAAGGGUUCGCAAGAACCCGAGUAAAGUGGCGAAAGGGUGAGCAGUACCUAGGUAACCUGCCCUGAAGAUGGGGAAAACGUUUCUAACGGAACGCUAAUACCCAAUGUGUCCGCGGGACGGAAUCGCCCUGCGGGUAAACGGUAGCCUCUGUUUACAAGCUUCCGCUUCGGGAGGGGCCUCGGGCCUAUCAGAUAGUUGGCGGGGUAACGGCCCACCAAGUCUGGGACGGGUAGCCGGUCUGAGAGGAUGGUCGGCCACACUGGAACUGAGACACUGUCCAGACUCCUACGGGAGGCUGCAGUCGAGGAUCUUCUGCAAUGGGCGCAAGCCUGACAGAGCGACGCCGCGUGGGGGAGGAAGGCCUUCGGGUUGUAAACCCCUGUUGUCGGUUAAGAAUGCUGGGGUGCAAAUAGCGCUACCAGUUGACUAAGGCCGAUGAGGAAGCCACGGCUAACUACGUGCCAGCAGCCGCGGUAAGACGUAGGUGGCGAGCGUUGUUCGGAAUCACUGGGCAUAAAGCGUGCGUAGGCGGCUGGGUCAGUCAGGUGUGAAAGCCCUCGGCUCAACCGAGGAACUGCGCCUGAUACUGCCUGGCUUGAGGUCCGGAGGGGAGAGUGGAAUUCCCGGUGGAGCGGUGAAAUGCGUAGAGAUCGGGAAGAACGCCGGCGGCGAAAGCGACUCUCUGGUCGGAAUCUGACGCUGAGGCACGAAAGCUAGGGGAGCAAACGGGAUUAGAUACCCUAGUAGUCC